CAAUAGCGUAUAUUUAAGUUGUUGCAGUUAAAAAGCUCGUAGUUGGAUUUCGGUUGAGAGCGGCCGGUCCGCCGUUUGGUGUGCACUGGCUGGUUUCAACUUCCUGUAGAGGACGCGCUUUGGGCUUAACGGUCUGAACGUGGAGUCUACGUGGUUACUUUGAAAAAAUUAGAGUGUUCAAAGCGGGCUUACGCUUGAAUAUUUCAGCAUGGAAUAACACUAUAGGACUCCUGUCCUAUUUCGUUGGUCUCGGGACGGGAGUAAUGAUUAAGAGGAACAGUUGGGGGCAUUCGUAUUUCAUUGCCAGAGGUGAAAUUCUUGGAUUUAUGAAAGACGAACUUCUGCGAAAGCAUUUGCCAAGGAUGUUUUCAUUGA
rnacentral:rRNA from 1 species